rnacentral:lncRNA from 1 species
AAGAACUUUCAUAUUAUAUUUACUCUGCACCAAUAACAGUGGUAGCAAAAUUGCUGAACUCAUUGGACGAAAAAUAUGAGAAGCAUCAAAUAUUUUACAAUAUUGAAACGCAACUAAUUUAUGUUUACCGGGAUAGAGAAAGAAUACAUCACAUGAUCAAUAUAGGGAGGACACUUAGUAUAUAAGGUUGAAAUACAUUCAGACAUGCACUUUUGUGAGUUGUGUUCUUGGUAACAUCUCUUCCAUCCUACAGCUGUUUCAGUUGAAGAGAAUAAUGAGAAAAGCUCCAGUGUUAUAGGCAUCGCCUACAACACAUGCGAAAAAUCUAUUGCAUAUCAAUUAACACACAUGAACCAACUUCAGGUAAUACAUGUGAACCUUCUUCGUUUGUCUUAACUACACAUAUCAUUGAUAUAACUUGCUAUUAUAUGGUACAACAAAUAGAGAAUAUACCUUUUAUCCAACUAGAGGCGGGAAGCAUACCUAUGAAGAACAGUGUGGAGGAAGUAGGAAAGAUGCAAAGUAGUAGCACAUUACAUUGGUGGAAGUUUUUUUCGAAUCACAUAGGUGGAACUUGACAGCAGUAGCAACUAGGGAGCCCAUGACUCGCCUCCACCUGUGGACUUUCUACGAAUGUAAAGAGACCGAUCACAUGCUACAAAUGUGAAGAGACCAAUCACAUGCUAAUGCAGAUUAAUAUUUCCUCACACUACUUUCAUGUAUAUACAUGUUAAGAAGUGCAGACAAGACAAUGAAAUAAAAGAUAUAUAAGUGUUAUACGUAGUAGAUGGAUAUAACUUUUGCUAGACGAAACUUCGUAUAAUUGAUACAGAUGAGUUGAAGAGACAAUAAUCAAAGUUGGCAGAAUGUCAACAGAAAAAGUAAUAUAAGUUCAAUUCAUUAAAAUAAUGCAAGGCACACCAAUGAAAAGUUAAAUAACUCUAUAAUUCAUAUCCUAAAUGAUCCUUACAUGAAGAACAACAAAAUAUAUGAGUUCAUCGUCUGUAUUAUAAUUUACCAGAACUAGGUAACUAAACCUUACCUCUGAAUAAAUUUAACAGAUCAACUAAGUAAAUGAAAUUUUAAAGUACGUGUACACUGAGCCCAACAAGAUAAUGAUGAUGAGGAGGAUGGGAGAGUAGUAAGACAGUCAUACCCAUCACUACUCUGCCACAUAAGAUGAGGAACACUAUGAAGAACAUGGCCGUCAAACCCGACACCACAAUCCUUGGCCCAGUGACACGAACAGGAUAGCAGCGCCAUUAGGGAAGUUACCAACUACGGAUCACUCAUAGUCUUCAGUGGCCUCCCCGGCGACCGCCUUGCCUCGCUGCUAGGGAGCGCCAAAUCCGCGGCUGGAACGCGUGCCCCGACCUCGCUCAGAUCUGGCCUCCAAGAUAAUCUCCUUCCCAGCUUUGUUGAUGCACGGGCAGGCCACUCGAUUUGGUGCAGCCACUCCGGCACUCCCCAUCACAUGGACGAGCAGGCCAAUCAAUUUGGUACAGCCUCUCCAUCUAUUUUUUCCUUCUCAAAGAUGGUGGAGCAGAGGAAUGAGGAAGGGAUAUGCUUUGUACACAUGGGAUGGGUAGCAC